AACUGGCCGCGUAAAUGUUUUGGCUCCCCUUAUGGACACACUCGCUCCGAUCAUCGCGCUGUGCUUUCUUGGGUUUUUUUCUUCAGCAGAAACUCCUCAAAGCUAUUGCCCAUCCCCACUGAUUCAGGCAGAAGAAGGUCGUAAUGUCUCAUUACCAUGUUAUGUGGAUCCCUCAGUUGACCUGUCUGCUUAUACCGUGGACUGGAAACAAACUGACUUGAACGAUGUUGUCUUCUCGUGGCGACACGGGCAGGAAAAUCAUGGUGCACAGGCGGCGAGCUAUAGAAGCAGAGCAAGUAUCAACUCUGGAGACCUUAGCAGAGGAAAUCUAACCCUGCAGAUCUUCUCAGCACGCCUGUCUGAUAGCGGGCGUUACAGGUGUUUUGUGCCAAAACUGAAAGCCUUUUGCAUCGUUCAUCUUAAUGUAACCAAAGAGAUUAAUGUCAGGUCCAGCACAACCACAUCUCCAAAUCUCCACAGCACAACCACAACGCUGAAGCCAAA